CUCGCGCCUUUCAUUUGCCGGCUGCGCAGCUCGCGUGACGCCGCAGUUGCCGCCGCCGUUUUUUUCCCUCAGAAGCCUCACACGCUCGCUCUUUUCUCUCUUUUUUUUCCCCUCUCGUCGUCGUCUCGUCGUCUUCUCCAUGGCCAACUACAUCCAUGUCCCGUCGGGCUCGCCUGAGGUACCCAAGCUGGACAUCUUCGUCAGCGAGAGGGACCCUUCAGGCGGCGGCAAGCCGGGCUACCGCCGCGGGGCCCUGGAGCUGCUCCGCCGGCUUAGGCCCGACUGGAAGCCUGAGGAGGUGACGCUGAAGAUAUUUACAGAUGGAAUCACAAAUAAACUUAUUGGCUGUUACAUGGAUGAAAAAAUGGAUGAUGUUGUCCUUGUUAGAAUUUACGGGAAUAAGACGGAACUUUUAGUUGAUCGAGAGGAGGAAGUGAAGAGCUUCCGUGUGCUGCAGGCCCAUGGUUGUGCACCCCAGCUUUACUGCACCUUCAGCAAUGGCCUGUGCUAUGAGUUCAUGCAAGGAGAAGCUCUGGAUCCAGAACAUGUUUGCAACCCAGAGAUAUUUCGACUGAUAGCAAGACAACUUGCUAAAAUACAUGCUAUUCAUGCUCACAAUGGAUGGAUACCCAAGUCGAACUUAUGGAUAAAGAUGGGAAAGUACUUCUCUCUUGCACCUGCAGAAUUUGCAGAUGAGGAGUUGCAUGUGAGAUUUCUACAUGAUGUGCCCAGCCGUCAAAUUCUACAGGAUGAAAUGGCAUGGAUGAAGGAGAGACUCUCUAACCUAGGUUCACCAGUGGUACUUUGUCAUAAUGAUCUCUUGUGUAAAAAUAUAAUCUACAAUGGAAAACAAGGUGACGUUCAGUUCAUUGACUACGAGUACUCUGGAUAUAAUUACCUUGCUUAUGAUAUUGGGAACCACUUCAAUGAGUUUGCAGGAGUGAGUGAGGUUGACUAUAGCCUCUAUCCAAGCAGAAAGCUGCAGGAGCAAUGGUUGAGAUCUUACUUGGAAGCCUACAAGGAAUAUAAAGGAUUUGGAACAGAUGUCACUGAAAAAGAGGUGGAGCUGCUUUAUGUCCAAGUGAACCAGUUUGCUCUGGCUUCUCAUUUCUUCUGGGGAUUGUGGGCCCUAAUUCAAGCCAAAUACUCCACUAUUGACUUCGAUUUUCUAGGGUAUGCAGUUGUUCGCUUCAAUCAGUACUUCAAAAUGAAGAAUGAAGUAAUGGCAUUAAAACUUCCUGAGUAGAAUUUGAGAACUUGGUUAUCCGCCUGUUGAGAAGAUUCCUUACUGUUUUUGUCAUGAGUACAUAAUAGGAACAGCUCUACAUUUGUAUUAUUCCUUCCUCUUUUCCUUCUUUUUUUUUUUUUUUUGGCUUUUCAUUACCUCUAAAUAACAAUCUUUCAAUGGUAAACUUCAAAUGAAGGUCUUUUCUGAUAUUGUGGAAGGAUUGGGAGCUCUAAUGGAUUUCUGAAACACAAGGCGAGCAAAUUUAAUCCUUUUUGUAUUAUUUUUUUUUUGAAAUGUGAGACAUGAAUUAUUUAUUAUGAGUUUAACAUUCCAUUGCUGCUGUUUAUCGGUUCUCCUUAAGGGAGAGGGUGCAGGCGAUCAUCCCGUAAACUUUUUUUUUACAUCUCAAAUUGCUACAGCAUUCAGUUGUUUAACCAUAAACUACAUGGAAUCUACAUAAUAACAGAUCCCAGUUUGUAACUCAAGUUAAGCCACUAAUGCUGACUGGAGAUUAUAUCAGGGUGGAACAAAAUAAUUUUCAUUCUCUUGUUUCUCUCAGCUCUAGCAAGCUACUGUCUGGGGAAAAAAAAAAUGACCGUUCUUGUAUAUAGUGGAAGCAAAAAAUUUUGUGGAGGCCUGCUCACAAAAUCAAUUAAGGAAAUGAUACCCACUUUCUCUUGGCUUUUAAAUUUGAAGAGGGAUUUUACCCUGAAAUGUAAGCUUUAAAUGACUACUCAUCCAGGUGUCGUGUAUUUUCCUCCUUAACAAGUUUUUUUCUUCUUCUUAAAUCUUUGAUAAAUACUGUAGUAAAAACCAACAGGGUUUUUGUGGAGCAGUCCUGUAAUAAUUGGGAGCAAAAGUGUACCACUUAAUUUGUAUUUCUUUAGGCUUGGUGAGGGCUCAUAAUUUUCUUCGUUGACUUGUCUUGGUUCCACCUUCUUCGUCAUCCUUUCUUUAGUAAACGGUAGUGGCAUUUGAAAAAGGAGAAUUGGUCACGGACAUUUGAGUCUUCUUUUUCAAAAGCCAUCCUCUCAAGAAUAGUUUAAAUUUCAAAAAAAUGUGAAACACAAUGUUUACUUAGCUAGCGUACGUGUGAGAGUGUGUUUAAGAAUGGGGAAGUUGCUUUAAACUUUUGAAAGUUGUGCUAUUAAGUUCAGUAAUAGUUUCUGUUGGUUUUAUUUUUGUUGUCUCUUUUGGUCACUUAAGUGCCCAUAUAGUCUAUGUGUUCACAUGCAUUAUGUGCAAAGGCAGAUAUACCUUAAAAAGUGAUGAAGUGGGGAAUCUGUUGCCCAGACUCAGUAAAAAUAUUUAUUCAGAAAUAUUUUAAAGAACUCUAAAAUAAACAUUGGCUAAAAAAUAAAACUGACUUGAUUUAAUGUAGGAUAAUGAAUAAAAAUGUUAACCCAAAGUCACUGACAACUUCUGUUUACAGAAAUAAAAACAUGACAAGAUACGUUUUGAGAUAUUUCUAAAACCACUCUCCUCAAAUGCCCCAAAUUAGAAUAGCGGUACCUCAAAUGUCCACUAUUCAGCAAUGAAAUUAGUUUAGGAAAACUAGGAUAGAAUCUGUAUUCUCUGGUCAGUCCCCCCCCCCCCCCACUGUGGUGGUGUAUGGAUAUGAUGAACAUAACUGUGUGGUUAGUUCUGAGCUUCAGGUUAUCUGGAUGGUAACAGGAAUUAUAUUCUAUUCAUGCUUAAAGCUUUCAUAUGGAGAAGGGUAGUUUUACUUUGAAGAUACAUUUCAGCUCUUACCACAGUUGUACAUAAAUUGGGCAGCUUCUCUUGAUGAUCAGUGUUGAGCUAAUUAAAGGAAAUUUGUAAUUUAUCGGGUAAAGGGUGUUGCUCGAGCUCUAGAAAAUAAGAAAACUCCUUUUUUUUGGUCUUUGUAUUUAUUUUGCAUAUUCUUUAAUGCCAUCUUACAGUGAGGCCCUUAGAAAUUAGGCGGAGUUCAUCAUAAUGAUUGUUAUCAUCUUCCUUUUUUGUUACAUAAAAAAAUAAUAUCCAAAGUAUGGUUCAGCUCCUCUGUUAAGCUGGAUAGAGAAAAAUGUGCCUCCAUGAUCACUGGAUGGAUCUGCAAAGAUUGAUAAACUUUUAUUUCAUUUCUACUGAGCUUAAUAUGAACCAAUUAAAAGUUUUUUCUUUUUUUAAAAAAAUAAUGAGCUCUUUAGAAGAGAUGUAUUUUGGCUUAGUCUCCAAAGUGGCUGGAUUUCAAUCGUGUCUCCAUUUUUGCCAGAAUUGUGUUAGAUUGAACAUAUUCCAGCACAGUGUGUUUCUGAAUACAUAAAAAGAUGUAUAAAAAUAAUUAGUGGUUUUAAAUCAUCUUAAGAGAAAAUGUCCAUUUACCUUGAAGAGUAGUACAUGUAGCUUAAUAUAGUUAUAUUUUGUUAUUUCAGAACUGUCGUUUUCUACUCUCUGCUCUUUUAUUCCUCUUUUGUUGGAUUUUUGAGAUGGCUUUGUCACACUUUCCAGCUUGCUCUCAUUUUUGCAAGUACUUGACUCUUUUAUUUUCCAGAGCUCUAGAAAACAACCUCAGGUAAUUCUGGCUGUGACUUGGCAAUAAGCUAAUCUGUUGCCUGUACUUUGAAGCUAAAGAUUCUAAUGCCACCAUUAGUGACAUUGUAGUGAAAAUAAGGAGUUACUAGAAACAGAUUCAACACUGUAAACAUAAGCCUACAGACCAUAGUGGCCUAGUAGCUUUUGUAAAGCAGAAAUGCGUGAAUUUUUCAACACACUGGCAAUCAGACCAGGUUCAUCAACCUCUACCUGAUGGAUUCAGACAUCAAAGCUUCUUUAGUGUAACGGUGGGGGGAUUUAAAAGAAAAUUGGUAUUGUUUUGAACUUUUGGCCUGGGAUUCUUAAUGUGAAUUUUGUAGGAUUAGCUAAUCAAUUUAUGGUAACCGGGUCUGACUGUGUAUAUAUAAUAGUGUAAAUAACCAUUUGUAAAUUAAUGUGAAUUGUAUGGUACCUCGCAUUUAUGAAUUUAUGUAUUUUCGUUGUAUGUUCCUUUUUGUAGAAUUUGGAUGUAAACCGAUAUCCAGUUCUUGACAUCUGUUGAACUCUUUUUGUUAAAUAGGCUGCCUUCAAGGGAAUUCCCAGUUGGAAAACAAAUAGGGUGCAGUAUCUGAGGAUAAUAUUAGCUUACAUAAGGUGUCUUUUUCAUUGUGUUUGUAAUGUCUGCCUUAGUAUUUAUACAUUUUCGUUGGAAGAGCUAAUCAGUCUAAACCUGAGUUAGCACAACAAUUGCUUUUAAGUGACAAUAUCCAUUCUUCUAGUAAGAAGCAGGUUGGCUAAUUAGAAGAAAAGUGGUUUUCUCUCCUGAGAUAUAAUGAAGGUCCACUCCGAUUCGGGCUUGUCACGCACAGGUAAUUCUCGCUUUGAAAAACCCUUGUACAUAUUCCUUUCCUAACAGUAGAGGCCCUUGCAAAUUAAAACAACAACACCAUCAAAACCUGUGUAUAGAAAUAGCUCAAGCAAAAGGAAGAUACACCUAUAUAAACCUGCAACAGCAAAAGAUACAGUCAAAUCCUUAAAUUUCAAUGAAGACAUGCUUAAAAGAACUUUGGUUUACUCCUGUUUCACACAGAGCUUUUCAUAAAAUCUGGAUUUGCACCCUCUGAUUCAUGGACAUUCAUGGACAUUGUUCCAAAAAAAAAAAAUCUUGUACACAUGAAGCAAGAGCAUUUGUCAACAUUGGUUGAAGUUGCAAGCGUUCAAGGGUGCCUUUUGCUGCUUCCGUAAAACCGAUGAAAUUGAACACUUUUUUCUCAAUUUCUCCUCUCAUUUCCUUUUUGGUUUAAAGAAACCCUACACCUAAAAGUGAAAGUUUGUCCUUGUCAGUCCUAGUACAUGUUCUUGAAAAGUUGUAUUCUGUUGAGCCUCCUUUUUAAAAUUAAUUUACUUGUGCGUCUUAAAAUUUUUUUUACACGUGCACACUUAACAAAAGUUGUGAGGGCUUGAAAUGAAUAGUUAAUCUGUAGUCUUUCUGCAGAGCUGGCCUGGCGUUCAGUUUCUGUUUAGUUAGAUUGGCCACAUAUAGGGAAUCUGAACAAAUAAUUGUUGACUACCCCUGUUAUAGACGAUAAAGCAAUGUUUCUCAACCUUGGCAAUUUGUGAGACGUGUGAACUUCCAAUUUCCAGAAUUCAGUUGGCUCGGGAAUUCUGGGAGUUGAAGUCCAUACGUCUUACAGUUGGCAAGGUUGCGAAACACUGAACUAGAGACUUCCUAAAGUGGAGCAGAAGCUUUGUAACACCCAAUGGUGCCUACCAGUUACUGGGUUGUAUGCAGAUUAGGAAGGAGGGCGGGCGGGCAGAGAGAAGAUCCAUGAGAAUUAUUUGCAUAUGACAAUACGAAGAAAAGUUGAUAUUUCUGUUAGCUAAAUUAAUAAAUACGGCCAUAGUGAUGAAUUGCCAAGUCCGUGCCAGUUUUAAACGAAUUGGCAGAAAACAAAUUCUGAUUUUGGUGAUUUUUUUUUUCCAGCAAAGUUAAAAAAAAUUCCCUGCCCAGCCUCUGAAGAUGAAAGUCCUUACUUUGGUUUUGCUAUUGAAAUAUUGCUAUAUAAGAUCUUCAUGUAGUAGAAUACAUUGAUAUCCGAUGUGUUUAAAUGAUGAAUUGAUAUUUGUGUAUUUAGGAUUUUUUAAAAAAAUAAUAAUAAAAAAUCUUAAGCCUCUUGGGGGAGCCUGCCAUUUUGACAGCAUUCUGAAACCCAGUCAAAGUAUGGCGGGCAAUCUGGAGCACGUUCUUUUCGACUUGGCUCUCCAACUCCAUACUACAAGUGCUAAUUAAUAGGUUGAUUGAGAUAAUAAAUAAGCACUUAAAUGAGUUGUAAGCACUGCGGAUGGAAAGUGCUGUAUAAAUUAUAAAUGACAGUAAAAGCAAUUCUCGCAGUUUGAAGACAAAUACUAACGCAGACCAGCAAACCCAGUGGCUCAACUGUGAAAAUACCGAUUAAAAAUAUCAGUCACAAGGAGCAGCAACGUUUACUGCUGGGCUUAAUUAAGUAUCAAAGUGGCUUCUUGUGUUUUCUGAUAAAUAACCUAUUUUCAGCGGUGGAUCCUAGUUGCAUCAGGAGCCUCAUCCUUAAUUGUCAAUUGUGUCAGCGGGGUAAAAAUAUUUUCAACAUCUUGGGGUAAUUAAAUUUUUUGCAUUUACAAGGAUUCAUUUCUUGAGGCUGACCACCCCUGUGUGACAACCACAACAGCGUAUAGGAAGAGACACCCCCCCCGCCCCCCUUUGGCUCUCUCCUUGCAUUUUAAAUCUUUUGUUUGUUGAGUCUUGUCCUGUGAAGGGUUGCCUGUCCAAUGAAAGGGAGAGAAAAAUCCCUCAUUUGUAUGUUAUGAAUGGAACUAAAAAUUGUGCUUUCUGUUCAUUGGCUUGUACUGGAGUGAACUUUUUUUUUUUUAGCUAAGCAUUGUUGAAGCUCUAUAUUAAGGCCUUUUAUCAUUGAUUUCAAUGAAGGAAUGUAUCUUGCAAAGAGAUUUAUAUUAUGUAAAUAAUUCAAAGUUGGUUGUAACAAUAAAGCUGGUUUUUAACUGCA